GACGAACGCUGGCGGCGUGCCUAAUACAUGCAAGUAGAACGCUGAAGAGAGGAGCUUGCUCUUCUUGGAUGAGUUGCGAACGGGUGAGUAACGCGUAGGUAACCUGCCUUGUAGCGGGGGAUAACUAUUGGAAACGAUAGCUAAUACCGCAUAACAAUGGAUGACACAUGUCAUUUAUUUGAAAGGGGCAAUUGUUCCACUACAAGAUGGACCUGCGUUGUAUUAGCUAGUAGGUGAGGUAAUGGCUCACCUAGGCGACGAUACAUAGCCGACCUGAGAGGGUGAUCGGCCACACUGGGACUGAGACACGGCCCAGACUCCUACGGGAGGCAGCAGUAGGGAAUCUUCGGCAAUGGGGGCAACCCUGACCGAGCAACGCCGCGUGAGUGAAGAAGGUUUUCGGAUCGUAAAGCUCUGUUGUAAGUCAAGAACGGGUGUGAGAGUGGAAAGUUCACACUGUGACGGUAGCUUACCAGAAAGGGACGGCUAACUACGUGCCAGCAGCCGCGGUAAUACGUAGAUCCCGAGCGUUGUCCGGAUUUAUUGGGCGUAAAGCGAGCGCAGGCGGUUUGAUAAGUCUGAAGUUAAAGGCUGUGGCUCAACCAUAGUUCGCUUUGGAAACUGUCAAACUUGAGUGCAGAAGGGGAGAGUGGAAUUCCAUGUGUAGCGGUGAAAUGCGUAGAUAUAUGGAGGAACACCGGUGGCGAAAGCGGCUCUCUGGUCUGUAACUGACGCUGAGGCUCGAAAGCGUGGGGAGCGAACAGGAUUAGAUACCCUGGUAGUCCACGCCGUAAACGAUGAGUGCUAGGUGUUGGAUCCUUUCCGGGAUUCAGUGCCGCAGCUAACGCAUUAAGCACUCCGCCUGGGGAGUACGACCGCAAGGUUGAAACUCAAAGGAAUUGACGGGGGCCCGCACAAGCGGUGGAGCAUGUGGUUUAAUUCGAAGCAACGCGAAGAACCUUACCAGGUCUUGACAUCCCGAUGCUAUUUCUAGAGAUAGAAAGUUACUUCGGUACAUCGGUGACAGGUGGUGCAUGGUUGUCGUCAGCUCGUGUCGUGAGAUGUUGGGUUAAGUCCCGCAACGAGCGCAACCCCUAUUGUUAGUUGCCAUCAUUCAGUUGGGCACUCUAGCGAGACUGCCGGUAAUAAACCGGAGGAAGGUGGGGAUGACGUCAAAUCAUCAUGCCCCUUAUGACCUGGGCUACACACGUGCUACAAUGGUUGGUACAACGAGUUGCGAGUCGGUGACGGCGAGCUAAUCUCUUAAAGCCAAUCUCAGUUCGGAUUGUAGGCUGCAACUCGCCUACAUGAAGUCGGAAUCGCUAGUAAUCGCGGAUCAGCACGCCGCGGUGAAUACGUUCCCGGGCCU
rnacentral:rRNA from 1 species